AGUAAAGAACAGUUUGUUUAAUAUAUCUAAUCUUGUGUUGUUCAUACUAUACAAUGAUUUAUUACAGAUUAUCUGGCCAAUGCUGGGUGUCUAAGGCCUUUGAAACGCAUAGAAGACAAAGAUCUCUUGGUGGAGGAUAUCAUCAUGUUUCAGCUGGUUCAUCGAGUUAGUGGAGCACUUUAAAGGUUCAGGCAGGGGAUGAAGACCCUUGGUGUUCUUGAUGCAAUAAGAAUGCACCCAGAUGCUUUCAGACCGCUGUUUUGUCACGAGCCAUCCCCACUCACAGCGGAUGUACUAGAACUGUCAGCAGUGGGCAGGAACAAAAGAAGGGCAGAGGAAUGUGUGCAUUUUGGAGGGACUACCUGCUGGAUGUUGAGGAGCAAGAGGGACCCUUGCAACUUGGGGGUAUCCUGGCCUUUGCGACGGGAGCAAACGAUAUUCCACCCCUGGGCUUCUCCCCACUACCUUCAGUGGUUUUUCUCCAUGAGCUGCCCCUCAGACAAGGCCGUCAUUUACCCACCGCAAACACAUGCAUUAACUGCCUGCGGUUGCCAGUCCUGAAAAAAUUCGAGGAUUUUAAGGAAACUAUGGAUUUUGCAUUAAAAACACUCAGGGAUUUGGUCAGGAAUGACUUCCAAGAACUCCUUAAUAUACAUUAUUAAAAUCUGUUGCCUGUUGAACUUGACUAAAUUGAAGAGGCAUCGUUGUCAAUAACUCACCAUUUCCUAAUACAUUAUUAAUGUCUUGUUUAAACAAUUGAAAAUGGAAUAAUCAUUUGACUGAAAAGGAAACUUGUCAAUGGCCUUUUAUUAACCUUUAUUAAUUGUCUUGACACUAAUGAAGUUGCUCACUGAUAGAGUUCACUAGGCUCAAAAAUAAUUGAAUGUCAUUGGCUAGUGGGUCUACAGUUUCUAGAAUUCUGUUCAUAACUGUUUAAUUGAAAAUAAAGUCAUUUUCUGGAACAACAA